GACGAACGCUGACGGCGUGCUUAACACAUGCAAGUCGAAGGGAGUGGCGAACGGGUGAGUAACACGUGAGUAACCUGCCCUUUUCUUUGGGAUAAGCCUGGGAAACUGGGUCUAAUACUGGAUGGAUUGGGCUGGGCUCGCGGCUUAUCAGCUUGUUGGUGGGGGGAUGGCUUACCAAUGCUUUGACGGGUGGCCGGCCUGAGAGGGUGGUCGGUAACACUGAGACUGGGGUACCGCCCAGACGACGCCGGGAGGCAGAAGUGGGGGAUAUUGCACAAUGGACGAAAGACUGAUGCAGCGACGGCGUGUGGGGGAUGAAGGCCUUCGGGUUGUAAUCUCCUUUCGCCCGCGGAAUGGUAGUGGGUAAAGAAGCGCCGGCUAACUACGUGCCAGCAGCCGCGGUAAUUC
rnacentral:rRNA from 1 species